UGGGGAAUUUUGGACAAUGGGGGCAACCCUGAUCCAGCAAUGCCGCGUGUGUGAAGAAGGCCUUCGGGUUGUAAAGCACUUUUGUCCGGAAAGAAAUCCUUGGCUCUAAUACAGUCGGGGGAUGACGGUACCGGAAGAAUAAGCACCGGCUAACUACGUGCCAGCAGCCGCGGUAAUACGUAGGGUGCAAGCGUUAAUCGGAAUUACUGGGCGUAAAGCGUGCGCAGGCGGUUUGCUAAGACCGAUGUGAAAUCCCCGGGCUCAACCUGGGAACUGCAUUGGUGACUGGCAGGCUAGAGUAUGGCAGAGGGGGGUAGAAUUCCACGUGUAGCAGUGAAAUGCGUAGAGAUGUGGAGGAAUACCGAUGGCGAAGGCAGCCCCCUGGGCCAAAUACUGACGCUCAUGCACGAAAGCGUGGGGAGCAAACAGGAUUAGAUACCCUGGUAGUCCACGCCCUAAACGAUGUCAACUAGUUGUUGGGGAUUCAUUUCCUUAGUAACGUAGCUAACGCGUGAAGUUGACCGCCUGGGGAGUACGGUCGCAAGAUUAAAACUUAAAUGAAUUGACGGGGUCAUAGCUGUUUCCU
rnacentral:rRNA from 1 species